rnacentral:rRNA from 1 species
GCUUCGAAUUUGCAAUGGGAACAAUCUAAAUCACUUAUCGAGGAACAAUUGGAGGGCAAGUCUGGUGCCAGCAGCCGCGGUAAUUCCAGCUCCAAUAGCGUAUAUUAAAGUUGUUGCAGUUAAAAAGCUCGUAGUUGAAUUUCUGAUUAUGAAUGUACUGGGUAACCGGUCCAUUUAUAGUCAUCCACAUGAGAACCUUUCUCGGCCUUCACUGGUCGGUUGGGGGAUCAUGUACUUUACUUUGAAAAAAUACAGAGUGUUUCAGGCAGGCGUUUGCAUGAAUACACAAGCAUGGAAUAAUGGAAUAGGACUAGGGUCCAUUUUAUUGGUUAUUGGACCAUAGUAAUGAUUAAUAGGGACAGUUGGGGGGUCAUUAGUAUUUAAUUGUCAGAGGUGAAAUUCUUGGAUUAUUAAGACUAACUUAUGCGAAAGCAUUUGCCAAGGAUGUUUUCAUUAAUC